GGAGGGGGCGCAUAAUGGCUGGUGCAGGAGAUUGCUAAUCUCCGACCUUGAAAGAGGUCAUGUGGGUUCGACUCCCACUCCCUCCG
rnacentral:tRNA from 1 species